AGUGAACGCUGGCGGUAGGCCUAACACCUGCACGUCGAACGGCAGCACAGUAAGAGCUUGCUCUUACGGGUGGCGAGUGGCGGACGGGUGAGGAAUACAUCGGAAUCUACUUUUUCGUGGGGGAUAACGUAGGGAAACUUACGCUAAUACCGCAUACGACCUACGGGUGAAAGCAGGGGAUCUUCGGACCUUGCGCGAUUGAAUGAGCCGAUGUCGGAUUAGCUAGUUGGCGGGGUAAAGGCCCACCAAGGCGACGAUCCGUAGCUGGUCUGAGAGGAUGAUCAGCCACACUGGAACUGAGACACGGUCCAGACUCCUACGGGAGGCAGCAGUGGGGAAUAGGGGACAAUGGGCGCAAGCCUGAUCCAGCCAUAGCGCGUGCGUGAAGAAGGCCUUCGGGUUGUAAAGCCCUUUUGUUGGGAAAGAAAAGCAGCAGGCUAAUACCCCGCUGUUCUGACGGUACCCAAAGAAUAAGCACCGGCUAACUUCGUG
rnacentral:rRNA from 1 species